UCCUUGGUGGUCCAGUGGUUGGGACUCAGCGCUUUCACUGCCAGGGCCAGGGUUCAAUCCCUGGUCGGGGAA
rnacentral:tRNA from 1 species